CACUAACUGAUUAAAUGAUAUGCUUUCCUGAAGAAGUGUGUUUUCAAACAUUUUUUGAAGGAGUGGAGACUGGGUAAGAAGUCUAACGGAGAAGGGAAGGGAGUUCCACAGAAAAGGUGCAGCCCUGGAGAAGUCUUGGAGGUGAGCAUCAGAUGUGGGAGUACGGACAGAGGACAGGUGUAGGUCUUAAAAAAUCUUCUCAGUGAAGCGAGUUGCAAAGUUUGAGGUGGACAGGGUGGUAAGAGGAGGGGGAGCAUUAAAAGUGUGAAAAAGUCGUUUGGAUUUACAGGAG